rnacentral:rRNA from 1 species
CCCUUAGAUGUCCUGGGCCGCACGCGCGUUACACUGAUGCAUUCAACGAGCUUAUAACCUUGGCCGAGAGGCCUGGGCAAUCUUGUUAACGUGCAUCGUGAUAGGGAUAGAUUAUUGAAAUUAUUAAUCUUGAACGAGGAAUUCCUAGUAAGUCCCAGUCAACAGCUGGUACUGAUUACGUCCCUGCCCUUUGUACACACCGCCCGUCGCUACUACUGAUUGGACGUUUAAGCAAGAUUUUUAAACACUGACAGUGUGUAGUUCACGCUAUACUACAGUGAGAAGAAGAAGAUCGAGCUUACUUGUCUAGAGGAAGUAAAAGUCGUAACA